GGCCUGGGGCCCCUGACCCUCUCCCUCUCAGGCCCCCUUGGUUUAAACAGCUGCUGGCCUUUUGGGUGGCUCAAGUGGCCACUGUCUCCUGAGCCCAUGUCUCAGUAGUUUGGACCUGUAAGGACACUGAGAGGCUGAAGAGAAAGAGCCACAUCCCCACCAGCUGACCCUUACCCUGGAGACACCAGGCACAGGCAUCCCCUUUGGGGACCAUCCCUGGAGCACCCCUGGGUGUGCAGUCUCCAGCCAGGUGGCCUCAGGAAGGCCUUCACCAGAGGCUGCCUUCCUCAGAGGUGUGUGUUCUCAACCAUAUUUAGAUGUCCCAUGUUCUGCUGACCCCAGCUCUGCAAGUCCGUAGCGAGUGCCACCACGGGCCAGGGAUGGUUUUGGGAUGGCAGUUCCCACCAAUCAGGGAUAGGAUGGGGGUUCCCAGAUCACUAGGGUGGAGGCAGUGGGUGCCUGGCCCAGUCAAAGGAC
rnacentral:lncRNA from 1 species